rnacentral:rRNA from 1 species
GUGUCAGCCGCCGCGGUAAUACGUAGGGCGCGAGCGUUGUCCGGAAUUAUUGGGCGUAAAGAGCUCGUAGGCGGCUUGUCGCGUCGGUUGUGAAAGCCCGGGGCUUAACCCCGGGUCUGCAGUCGAUACGGGCAGGCUAGAGUUCGGUAGGGGAGAUCGGAAUUCCUGGUGUAGCGGUGGAAUGCGCAGAUAUCAGGAAGAACACCGGCGGCGAAGGCGGGACCCUGGGCCGGUACUGACGCUGAGGAGCGAAAGCGUGGAGAGCAAACAGGAUUAGAUACCCCGGUAGUCC